CAACAAGUGACAGGAAGGGGCAGGAUUCCCCCAUGUCCCUUCCCAUCCAGAGGAUAUGUUUUCUUUCGAGACCCAUUCAGGCUCAGAUACUGGCACUAGGAUUUUAUUUAUGACAACUAUCUUCAGUUUCAUCGUGGGGCCCUGCCUGCUUCUUUUUCUCAUGUUCUUGGCAAUUCAGCAGUGCAGAAAGAAAAUAAAGUGUCAAGGUCGGUUUUUACAUUUCUCAAGAAAAAAAGAUAUCGAAAAAGAGAAACUCCUAAAAGAAGAAGAUGAGGUUGGAAAUGAGAAUGCUGAGCUUGGAGAUGGUGAAAUAUCAUCUGAACAGAUAUAUCUCUAUUGAAACUUUGUCAUAUUUUGGUCCAUACUAGAGGUUUAGAAAAUAUCAUUGUCUAUGUCCAGAUAGGGCAACACUGACUUAUAUUCCAUUUUCAAAUAAAUUGUCCAAUAAUAAAUACUUUGGUCAACCUUUAA